GUGUCUUUGGUCUAAUGGUUAAGACACGUGACUGCUACUCUAGCGGUCCUGGGUUCGAUUCUCGGUGGGUCCG
rnacentral:tRNA from 1 species